UACGGGGGGGGCAAGCGUUGUUCGGAAUUACUGGGCGUAAAGGGCUCGUAGGCGGCCAACUAAGUCAGACGUGAAAUCCCUCGGCUUAACCGGGGAACUGCGUCUGAUACUGGAUGGCUUGAGUUCGGGAGAGGGAUGCGGAAUUCCAGGUGUAGCGGUGAAGUGCGUAGAUAUCUGGAGGAACACCGGUGGCGAAGGCGGCAUCCUGGACCGAUACUGACGCUGAGGAGCGAAAGCCAGGGGAGCAAACGGG
rnacentral:rRNA from 1 species